rnacentral:pre_miRNA from 1 species
CAGUUAUCACAGUGCUGAUGCUGUCCGUCUUAAAGGUACAGUACUGUGAUAACUGAA